CUGUCAUUCAGUGCCAGGAAUAGAAAAGGACCUGUGAGUCGCAGUGCAGCUCCCACAAGCAGAGAGACCCGUCAGGGACUGCCAACAGUGCAUUCCUAUUCAGAGAGCCUGCUUGCCCCAAGACAGCUACAGCAACAACCUAGACUCGCCUCUCAACAAGACACCAGGGGUGUUAGUGCCAGUCGACGGCUCCAGCACAGGGCAUCCCAGAACAAGAUCACUGCUCCUGGAUGUGUGGUUGUAAACAGGCCCUGUCAGAGUUCCAGCUCCAGCAUGGGGAGUGAACUGGAUGAGGCAGACAAUGAGGUGAAAUGGUUCACAGACUUGGCUUUCCGCAGCUUGUCAAGCCCUGAGGUAGACUACCUCGACAUGUACAACUCCAGCCACCGUUCAUCUACAAACAUUUCUCAACCAUCUACCCAAGAUAGCCCAGCUGGAGUCAACGCUGCCUGGCCGGCCUAUGCUGACUUCAGAGGGUCUGCUCCAAAGCUGGACCAUGAUGAGCUUUCCUUCCAGCAACCUCCUGCAUGCUAUCCAGAUGGCCUUGAUACAGCUAGGUGUUAUGAGUUGGGCAGCUUUGAAUGUGUAGAUGUGGCUGUAGAGAAAGAGGAGUGCAGGAGGGUGAGAAGAGGGGUGCCGAAGAGACAAAUACAGCUAAAGAGAAAGAAUAACACAGAAGGGAAGCAGGAUGAGAGCAGUGAAAAUAGCAGCCCUGGGCUUCCAGUGAUGGUGGAAAGUCCCUCUCAAGAGACUCACACCAGGGCGACGCUCAUGAGACAACACAGCACACCAGCAGCAAUACAAGAAUGCUACCCUACUGAGUGCAGCCCAGAGCCCAAUCAACAAAAUGAAAGAAAAUCCAAACUCCAGAAAUCUGCCUCUAUGGAUGAAACAUGCACUAAAACCAAGAUGGCUACUUGCCUCAUUAAAAGUGUGUUGUCUAAGAAGAUGCAAAGUGUGGACAAACAACCUGAUGGUGAGGAUCUGAGCCCUACGUUUGUGGAGAACAGCCCACCAACAGAGAGUGAAAAACCUGAUGCACAUAAUCUAAGUUCCAGUCUUCAGUCAGAUCACAGUUUGUCAUCUGAGGGUCUUCCUGUGAGAGGGGAGCCAUGCACAAAGGAGGAAAGCAAACCACCCAAAAGCUUUGGAGUGAGAUCCACUAACAGGCCAAGCUCCUCCAGCAGCAGCAGAAGUGUUAACUUCUCACAGACUGACAGUGAGGAGGCUGAUUCCCAAAGCAGGAAUGCAACCCCAUUAAGAUCUGAAAUGAGAUCAGAACUGAAGGUGCCAUUUGACAGUAAACAGCAAAGAACUGAACAAGCAGAUGACAGCAAAAAAUACGAAAGGGAGGAAGGUGACUCAGCGAAUGCCACUGCCAAAAACCCAGUGGCUCCUUCUGCCACUGGAUCCAGCAGCAUGCAGACUGGGAUGACAAACAGAGACCAGGAAUGUGAAAACACAGAGGACCAUAAACAACUGCAACAGGGUGACAAGGGCCCCAGCAUGUCAACAACACAAGACGCUACAAUGAAAGCUGUGGAGAAGAAGAAAGCCUCCUUAAAUGUUUGUCUCACGCCUGAAGCAGAAAACAAACCUGCCUCUUCCCCUGAUGUGACUGACAGAGAAAGGGAGGAAAGGAUGGAGAUAAGUGCAGAAACAAAAAAGGAGGCAGAAGAAAGUGAGAAUAACAAAGUUAAGGGCCCAAUUCACAAAGUCAGAGAUGUGAGGCGGCUCGUAAAAAAUACAUACAACCUGUCUUUUAAGGCAGCUACUGCUGUAAACAUGAAUGAGGACAGAGGGACAGAAGAAAUCAUAGCAGGGGAGGAGAUCGAUGUACAACAGGAGAUAAAGAGGGAGGAAAGAGAAGAGGAGUUCUGGAAAGAGGAACAGACAGAGGAAGUAAAAGAUUCAAAGAUGUUAACUCCUCCUCUUCCAAAUAAAGGAAAGUGCCCAACAGCUUUACAACCAAUGCAAAUAGAAUACAAGGCUGUGUGCUGGAAAGAAGACAAAAAUAAAAUCACGUGUGUCAAGAAAGAAUCUGAAUACCCAGGUGACAAACCUCAGGCUUCUUCAAAGCCCCUCACAGAGAUAAAUGAGGAAUCACAUGCAUUGAAGGUGCAUCACAUGACUGGGGAUGCUGCUAAAUGUGAACAUGAAACAACAGAAAUACAAGAGAGAGAAAUGCACAAAGUUCCAGAUAAUGAGAAACCUGUGGUGGUUAGAACAGACAGGAAACCUCCUGUGCUGGGAAGCCUCCCUAAAAUGCCAAGUAAGGAACGAGAGGUGUCCACUGCUGUGGUAUUAAUAAGAGAAGCACCAAGUAAGACAAAGACAUCUGCUGCAUCCCCAGCACGAGAAGAGAUUCCCAGCCCAAUCCAAGCUCCUGCUACUUCACCUUCACCUGGGCCCCUUGCACAGGGCAGUGCCCCCGGUGGCCACUCAGUUUCUAUGAUAUUAAAGGAGAAAGGCUACCAAGCUGACAUUGGAGCAGUGGUGGGUGACCCGAAUGCAGCUGGAAGUAAAGGAGCACCCCGUAAACAUGUGAACAGUCUGGAGAUUCCUCUGCAGACGAUACCUCAUUCAGAGGGAGGCUGGACUGAGUCUCAAAGAGAGAGGACAUUCUCCUCCUCAUCCUCCACUUGCGGCACCUCACCAGCAACAGAAGCCCUGAUGAAGACCAGAGAAGAUGAGGGAGUCAGCAUUACAGGAAAAGACACAGAAAAACAGAAAGGUUUUUCUGUGCUGAGGAAUACACAGGAGCAAACACCACUUCCUGCCAAACAAAAAGACCUAGGAGACUUUGAAGCAGUGAAAAGACUAGAUCCAACUUUUCCUCCAAGGUCCCCUGCAAUACGGAGAUUUAAACCACAGCCAAUUGAGGUGAAGUCGCUGUCGAAAGAACCACCUAAGCAAGAGAUGCCCACAAACUCUGCAGGAAGCAACAGGCCUCAAACCAUUGAAGUUAAAUCUAUAGCUAAAAACUGUCAAAAGCCAGCAGUGCCUCCCAAACCGAGCUGCAAAUUCAAACCAUCAGAUUUAGGAACAAACGAAGCACAGAGACCAUCAACAAUGUCAACUAUGAAGGCACAGGGUGAGGAGAGAUCUCAAACUAUUGUAGUGAGCUCACCGACAAUCUACAGAAAAAUUUCCAGUGAUUCCACUUCAACGUCAAAUUAUUCAAGAAAACUAGCUGUGUCUGCAGUGUCCAGUCUCAAGCCUCCAGCUAACAAAACAACAGCUACCGCCAUCUCCGCCCUGUCAAACCAGUCAACAGCACCAGCAGACACAGAAACAGCCAAUGACAGAGGACAGCAGCAGCAGCAGCCGCCGACUGCGUCUCCUCAGAGCAGCAGAUACACACAAAAACCUAUAACCUUAGCUACAGUUCCAACAUCAGCCACAGCUUCAUGUGUAACCUCAGCUUCAGGUCCAGGUCUUGGCCCAGUACCAAACCAAAUCCCUGGAGCUGCCCCAGCUGGAGCCAGCCAGCCAGGCCGGCAAGCUGUUGUGGAUCCCAACAGCCAACUGCCAUGUCCCAGUGCAGCAUACCCUCAUGAACAAGCUAUGCAAACAGCCUCAAACAAUACAAAACAACCAGCUGCUGUUUCCACAACACAAGUACCAAGAUACACUCAGCAGCCGUGUCGCAGAUCUCUCUCCAGCGAACGCUCCCGAAGAGCAGAAGACCUGCGUUUUUAUGCCUCAGAUGAUCCUCCAAGCUACGAUGAAAGAGAGAGCUUCAGUCCACUCGCGCUCCCAGAUUUAAGGUCAAAUCGCUAUCAGCCCUCCUCCCGUCCUCCUCCCUGCUCCUGCACAGCUGGCUGCCCCUCUCAUCCCGGUCUCACACCACCUCACCAUCACCGGAGCCCCCAUAAUCUCACCCCACCAGCCCCUUCACACUCUCCAGGCCAGGCACUACCUUAUCCAGUGACUCAGCCCCCUCUGCGUCCACACCAGUGCAGACCUGAUCCUCAGCCGAUGAGCUACCUCCCCAGCUCCCCCAAAUCAAGUCCUCAUGGUCCAAACCAGCCUCCGACUAUGUACCAGUCUCUCCACCAGCCUGCUCCCUGCCCUCCCCACCACUCCCUCAUGCAGGGCUGCCCUGCUGACCGCCCAUUGCCGCCAACGCAGCACAUUGACUCUCGACGGCCUCCCAUCCACAGGUCUCCCCAUCAGCAGGCACCAGGUAUGGCACCAGCUCCAUACAGUGAUCCUGGACACAGCCACUCGCCUGGCCUUCCUCCCAUGGACCCUCAGUACCUGUGUGGCCCACAGAGCAUGGGGCCGUCCUAUGGCUCUGAAUAUGGGGGUGACAGCUCUAGUUUGUACUCAGAGAGUAGCUAUGGACAGACACCUCGCAGAGUGCUCCUGGAUCCUGAAACAGGAAAGUAUUUUUAUAUCGAGGUGCCUGUACAGCCACUGAGGAAAAUGUUGUUUGACCCAGAGACUGGUCAGUAUGUGGAAGUUCUCAUCCCUCAGCAAGCAAUGUCACACUCAGGCCUGUAUCCUCCUUCAGCUGCCCCCUACCCACCUCUCCACAACCCCAACAUGUAUGCCCCUGCUCCACAGUACAUGCCCUACGGAGCUCCUCCUCCUCCUCCUCACCAAGCCCACCCCCAGGCUCAGCCCCAGCCACCCCGAUAUCCUGAGACCUCUGCUGCAGCAGCGAUGCACCCAAGUGGGCCUGUGGUCAGCUACAGGAAUCCUUCUGGUCAGGGGUCUAAGCCAGAGCCCCAGAACCAUCCACCACUGGACCACAGUUACCUGGAGAGCAUGUAUUACGUCCCCACAGGGAUGAAUGCAAGCCCCAAUACCACCCCACCAGACUAUUACCACAAACAUCCCCCCAACUUACCCCCAACAGGGGGGAAAAGGUCCUGAAAUAGAGGGUAGCGACCGCCGUCCUGGAGCCUGUUGGGUUUAAAAUACACAGUGUAUAAAGGGGUGUCUAAUGUUAGCCUGUAAUGUUAUUUGAGUUUUCACAUUGCAACUGAAGACUGCAAUUAUUUGCUGCUAUAUUCUCUGCUGAGCUGCUUUGAAAACAAAUCUAUAUUUAUGAUUCUUGUUUUAAUAGUUUUGCAAAUACAAGUGAGUCUGACUUUUUCUAUGAGG
rnacentral:lncRNA from 1 species